rnacentral:rRNA from 1 species
GUACACGCUGUGACUAGCAUAUCAAUAAGCGGAGGAAAAGAAACUAACAAGGAUUCCCCUAGUAACGGCGAGUGAAGCGGGAAGAGCUCAAAUUUGAAAUCUUAAAGGGUUUCCCUUUACGAAUUGUAGUUUAAAGAAGUGUUUUCUGUUGAGGUUUUGGUAAAAGUUCUUUGGAAUAGGACAUCAUAGAGGGUGAGAAUCCCGUAUUUGACCUUUACUUUCAACUUUGUGAUACACUUUCAAAGAGUCGGAUUGUUUGGGGAAUGCAGUCCAAAAUGGGUGGUAAAUUUCAUCUAAAGCUAAAUAUUGGCGAGAGACCGAUAGCGAACAAGUACCGUGAGGGAAAGAUGAAAAGAACUUUGAAAAGAGAGUUAAACAGUACGUGAAAUUGUCAAAAGGGAAGCGUUUGACACCAGUGUUGUUUUUCUGAAAAUCAAUUAAAGAACUGUUUAUGCUAAGCUGUUUAGACUUUAUCAGCUAAUCUGUUUAGUUUUGAGCUUUUCUUUAAUGCACUUUUCAGUUAACAAGUCAACAUCAAUUUCUUUUGCUGUAAAAAAGCUUGAGGAAGGUGGCUUGAGAUUCGUCUUAAGUGUUUAUAGCCUCUUGCCUAUGCAGUCGGAGAGAUUGAGGUCUGCAGCGUAGAUCCUUCGGGGCUAAAUGCAUUUGUGCUAAGUUAUAGCAUUUUAUAGACAACUUGUUGACUAUGAUUUAGUCUUGUAGCUUACUCGCUUAUGCUAUUUUACCUACGCUUAGGAUGUUGAAGUCAUCGUAUCGCGC